UCCAACCUGCUCCUCUCUCAGCUGGACAGUAAGGGCCGUUCACACCACACACUGACAACAUGCUGGGGACACUCUGCACUCUCAUCGCUGUGCUAUCAUAUGUGAGUGGAGUGACAGUGGUGACACAGAAGCCUCCUGUUCUGUCAGUGAAUAAAGGAGAUACGGCCACUAUGGACUGUAACCUCGGGACUGUGACUGAUCGUACUGCUCGCUGGUACAAGCAGGUUCCAGGCAGUGCUCCUCAGCAUGUGCUGCGUUUCUACCACUCUUGGAGCUCUCCUAGCUAUGGAGUUGGAUUCUCCUCCCCCCGCUUCACAUCCAAUCAUCAGAGUAAAUCUGAUUAUCGAUUAAUAAUUAAAACUGUGGAGGCAGGAGACUCAGCAGUGUAUUACUGUGAAACAUGGGACAGCUCUGCGAGUGAGAUCGUAUUCGGCCAAGGCACCAAGUUGAUUGUCGCUGAUUCUUCUCUUGCUGCGCCUACCCUCUCUCUCCUGCCUCCAUCCAGCGAGGAGCUGAAGACAGAUAAAGCCACGGUGGUGUGCCUGGCGCAGAUGUCUGUUGGGUUCGCUGAUGUCAGCUGGACAUCGGACGGGAAACCAGUUACCGGCGGGGUUUUUACCGGCACCGCCGAACAGAAACCCGACAAAACCUUCGGUUUGAGCAGCUUCUUAACCAUCACGCCCUCCGAAUGGAUUACCGACCGCGUCUUUACCUGUAAAGUAUCUGUCGGGUCUAAAACCUCAGAGAAAAGUAUCAAAAAGUCUGACUGCAGUGGCUAAACUUUGUGAGAUCAUGUAUUAAAUGUUUGAUCUCGCUUUGUGUCCGCAAUAGGGUAGUGUUGUGUUGAGUGAAUUUGCCUUAAUAAACGAGAAUGCAUUGUUUUAAAAAAAAUAAAAUUAGUACGCUUUCGGAAUUAAAUGUAGACUAUCCCAUGCGUUUAUGUGUGGACUGAGUUGUGUUUUUCUGUGUGCUUGAAUUGUGUAGAGAUUAAAUAAAAAUCAUUGCAUGUAUUACAA